ACAUAUCUAUGGGCUUGACCAUGCAUUUGCAGAUGACGGCUCACUUGACGGGGGUUCGUGACCCAUCUGAGCUAAUGUAGUAAAGAUCUUUUAUUUGUCUUUACCUUCUAUAAAAAUGUGUUAUCCUCGUUCUUCAAAUUUAUUUGACAUUGUUUAGUUAAUUAUAACGCAAGUUAUUUAAAUGUAGGGUUUGACGCGUAAAUGUAGGGUUAUUUAACUUACAGUACGGGCACACAGUUUUCAGUCAUUUUCUUGUUGUGUUGUGAUGUGUUCCAUUGGCUGAAGAGCAGAUUACCAUGCAAUUUGAUGAAGUGUGAUAAAAUACACAGAGGUGAAGUCACGUGUCUUUCCAGAUGCCCAAAUCUGUACCACUCAAAAGAUGAGCCUGAAGAGGAGAUUUGGGAAGAUGCUGUUUCAUAAGUCUUUGCUUUGCCAGAUCACCUGUGGUCGGGAUGUCUGCUAACAUGAUGCCUUGUUGGUCUGGGCGAGUUUGAAGUCUCUCACAGACAGUCCAGAAGGUCUGGAGUCCAAUCCAUGUUAGCUUUUAUUGAUUAACUACAUACGGUCCCUUGGGGGAGCCAACCCAGGUGAAGUCCACUGAAGUCCCGAUUGCCUACAGCAUGAAAUGGAGGAAGGAAUCAACACAGAAAAACUACAAGGCAUUAAAGGCCCUUGACGUGGAAGACUUAAUUGCAUUAGCCCUGAAAUUUGCCCCACACAGAAAUUUAAAAUGAUGGCAGAGAUUGCUGUGGAGUUCUGAAGUUCAUUGUUUAAAUGUUUUCAUUUUUAAAAUAUUAAAAUGUUUUUUAUGAUACAAUGUUCUACAUGUUUAUUGCCAAUUUUAUGUGUUAUAUAAGCAAAUUAUCUACCCUAUUAUAUUAUUAUCUAAGUCUAUAAAUUCUAUAAAUGUUCCUGUGAUUAAUGAUUUUGAUUUUAUGUCUACGGAUAAAGAAUCCAUGGAUCAACAUGGAUUGUGUGAUUAUUUGUUCAUUUAAAUAGAUUAUAUAUAAAUAAACUUAGUUUAUAUAGUGAAA